ACGGUGUGGAGGACUGGUUUGAACAACGACUCACACUUGAUCGAUUGGUUAUGAAUACACAAACAUACCAUAAUUGGAUAACCGGUGCGGUUGGCACAGGUUUUUGAGAAAUUAUCACACUACAGUGAUGAUGAAAUUUGAAACUUUUUUAAUACAUUCCAAAAUAUGGCUAAUACAACAUUAGUACAGUUCUCUUUAUACACCUGACAUCAUGCGUUCUUCUUCAAUUCGAAUUGUUAUCACCAAAGAGAAUAGGAAAAGUUUUAUUACUUCUAUCAAAGUUCGCUCGACUUCCGUCAAAUAUUAUCUGGCAAUUGAUUAAUCAUAAAUGCGAUUGGUCUUGUAUUUUUUAGCAUAUGUACAACGACCUCAAUAUACAUAGCCCCCCUAAUCUGCUUCAUCCAUUAUAGAAACCUUCGCCACACAACACAAUCACACACAUCAGGUGACAUGUGGCCGUAGGCACUGGACGACCUCUAAAACUACCCGGCUCAUUCCACCAGAGAACAUCUACAAUCCUUUCGAACAAGCAUGCAAACACCCGUUUUUUAUGACUGAAUCGAUCAAGUACUAUUACCGCAUCGCCGUGCGAGAAAGCUACGCCACUGAUCUUCCCACACCGAUAUAAUCUCUGAUUGGCGAUUCCACGCACAAGUGCGAUUUGCUGCCGCUUACAACGUGACUUUCAUCCAUCGGAGCUAACUUCACGAUGCUUCCGGUCGGAACAACCCCCACGAAACGCGGAAACGACAAUGACCUUUUGUCUAAAGCAUAGCAGCACAGCAAUCAGCAAAGGUCAUCUAGUCCGAGCGGCAAAUAGGUGAGUUCUAGAGCCCUAACGAUCAGUGCUAUUAGCAUCUACCGCGAAGCGUCAUCGCCGGGAAAUUGUAUCAUGCUGACUACUGACUGUGUGCGAGGGUUGAAAGUAAAAUUUUAGCAACACUUUG